GUGGGGAAUAUUGGACAAUGGGCGAAAGCCUGAUCCAGCCAUGCCGCGUGAGUGAUGAAGGCCUUAGGGUUGUAAAGCUCUUUCAGUAGGGAAGAUAAUGACGGUACCUACAGAAGAAGCCCCGGCUAACUUCGUGCCAGCAGCCGCGGUAAUACGAAGGGGGCUAGCGUUGUUCGGAUUUACUGGGCGUAAAGCGCACGUAGGCGGAUUGGUCAGUUAGGGGUGAAAUCCCAGAGCUCAACUCUGGAACUGCCCUUAAUACUGCCAAUCUAGAGUCCGGAAGAGGUGAGUGGAACUCCUAGUGUAGAGGUGGAAUUCGUAGAUAUUAGGAAGAACACCAGUGGCGAAGGCGGCUCACUGGUCCGGUACUGACGCUGAGGUGCGAAAGCGUGGGGAGCAAACAGGAUUAGAUACCCUAGUAGUCC
rnacentral:rRNA from 1 species